rnacentral:rRNA from 1 species
GAUGAACGCUGGCGGCGUGCCUAAUACAUGCAAGUCGAACGCGAGAGGAGGGAGCUUGCUCCCUCUGAUCGAGUGGCGGACGGGUGAGUAACACGUAGGCAACCUGCCCAUCAGCCGGGGAUAACUGCGGGAAACCGUGGCCAAUACCGGAUAAUCCUCUCCACCGCGGGGUGGGGAGUUGAAAGACGGUUUCGGCUGUCGCUGAUGGAUGGGCCGGCGGCGCAUUAGCUGGUUGGCGGGGUAACGGCCCACCAAGGCAACGAUGCGUAGCCGACCUGGGAGGGUGAUCGGCCACACUGGGACUGAGACACGGCCCAGACUCCUACGGGAGGCAGCAGUAGGGAAUCUUCCGCAAUGGACGCAAGUCUGACGGAGCAACGCCGCGUGAGUGAAGAAGGGUUUCGGCUCGUAAAACUCUGUUGUUAAGGAAGAACGCCAGGUAGAGUAACUGCUACCUGUGUGACGGUACUUAACCAGAAAGCCACGGCUAACUACGUGCCAGCCGCCGCAGUAA